UGGGGAAUAUUGGACAAUGGGGGCAACCCUGAUCCAGCCAUGCCGCGUGAGUGAUGAAGGCCUUCGGGUUGUAAAGCUCUUUUGGCGGGGACGAUGAUGACGGUACCCGCAGAAUAAGCCCCGGCUAACUUCGUGCCAGCAGCCGCGGUAAGACGAAGGGGGCUAGCGUUGUUCGGAAUUACUGGGCGUAAAGCGAGUGUAGGCGGUUGCCGUAGUCAGGUGUGAAAGCCUUGAGCUCAACUCAAGAAAUGCACUUGAUACUGGGUGACUAGAGGACCGGAGAGGAUAGUGGAAUUCCCAGUGUAGUGGUGAAAUACGUAGAGAUUGGGAAGAACACCAGUGGCGAAGGCGGUAUCUGGACGGUUACUGACGCUAAGACUCGAAAGCGUGGGGAGCAAACAGGAUUAGAUACCCUGGUAGUCCACGCCGUAAACGAUGGGUGCUAGACGUUGGCGAGCUUGCUCGUCAGUGUCGCAGCUAACGCGUUAAGCACCCCGCCUGGGGAGUACGGCCGCAAGGUUGAAACUCAAAUGAA
rnacentral:rRNA from 1 species